rnacentral:rRNA from 1 species
UACGUAGGGUGCGAGCGUUGUCCGGAAUUAUUGGGCGUAAAGAGCUUGUAGGCGGUCUGUCGCGUCUGCUGUGAAAAUCCGGGGCUCAACCCCGGACUUGCAGUGGGUACGGGCAGACUAGAGUGUGGUAGGGGAGACUGGAAUUCCUGGUGUAGCGGUGAAAUGCGCAGAUAUCGAGGAGGAACGACCGAGUGGCGAAGGCAGGUCUCCUGGGCCACUACUGACGCUGAGAAGGCGAAAGACAGUGGGGAGCGAAACCAGG